rfam:Oryza nivara chromosome 4, whole genome shotgun sequence.
AAAAAGGGUAAACCCUAGGUUUCCGUGUCCAACUUUAACUGUCCGUCUUAUAUGAAUUUUUUUUAUAUUUCGUAUUUUUAUUGUUGUUAGAUGAUAAAAUAUGAUUAAUACUUUGUGCGUGACUUGUCUUUUUAAUUUUUUUUUAUAAUUUUUCCAAAUAAGACAGACGGUCAAACAUUGGGCACGAAAACCAGGAUUUAUC